ensembl:snRNA U1 U1 spliceosomal RNA
AUACUUACCUGGCAGGGGAGAUACCAUGAUCAUCACGGAGGUGGUUUUCCCAGGGCAAGGCUUAUCAAUUGCACUGCGGGUGUGCUGACCUCUGCGAUUUCCCCAAAUGUGGGAAACUCUACCGCAUCAUUUGUGGUAGUGGGGGACUGCGUUCGCACUUUCCCCUA